rnacentral:lncRNA from 12 species
AAGAAAACCCGCUUUUUAAUCUUACAAACUACUUGAUGACAAAAAAGAGACUAAAACACAUAGGUGUAUCUACAGUCACUACAUCCUCAUCACUCUGCCUCCCAAACUGAGUCCCCAUAACUCCUCCUCACAAACCAAAUCAGAGGGCAGACAGGCUGGUUUAUCUCUCCAAAUUUUCUUCAGCCCAAGUUCAGGGAAAAGAGAGCACAAAAGUGCCCUGCCCAUUGCAACAGGGAAACAAAAUUAGAACUCUUCCCAUCUCACAGACUCCUUCUGAAAAUGCUUUGUGA